rnacentral:tRNA from 1 species
GGGGGUGUAGCAUAGCGGCCUAGUGCACAGAGCUGUUAAACUCUGAUACGUCGGUUCGAAUCCGGCCACCGUCCA